GCAGCCUCCUGCCCGCCCCUGCGCCCGUGGCAACGCGCGCGGCGUCGGGGCGGACUCGGGUCGGUCGGGGCAGACUCGGGUCGCUCGGGUUAGUGAGCCAUUGAGGCAGCCACGUGAGUCUGAUGGCCCCCAGGCCAUGAAUGCAGCGGUUGGUAUUGAAUCAGGGGAUUGAACCUUCCGUGUUACCCACUCAUCAUAGCAAGUCAAGGAUAUCCAGCACUGUGGGAAGGUGUGGAGGAGUGCCGAAGAUAUAGUGUGUGUCAGGCUCAAUGUCUUUCCACUCAUAGCAAGCCCAGGGUUACGUCACAGCAUUCUUCUCCCGAGAAGAUGGAGAAAGCAAGGAAGGAAUUGAGGAAUUUUCUGAGUAGGAGCCGUCCCAGUAUCAGCAAUGAGGCUUCUGCUGAUGUCCCUGCUCCAGGAACCUCCAGCAGCUCAGGGGGUGCUUCUGCUGGCCCCCACGUGUCCCAGUCUUUGGUGAACCAGGCAGACCAGGAGCAGCAUACCCCUAAAGUCACAAAAUUCAAGAUGCCUGCAAACUUUAGAAGUCUCCUGGAUAAGCAAGUGGUUGGAUCAUCCUCUGAGUCCCUUGCUGAGUCAGAUUUCCCUGUACAAUCAUUUAAACCCAAAGUGCAGUUACCUUUCGAACGGAUUCCAGGGCAAAACCCUCGGAAGGUUGAAAUAGAGAGGAGGAGACGGCUGUAUCUCACCUUUGAUAUUGCUGAGCUCUUGGCCAGCAAGGGGAUAGACUCCAAUCAGCUGAUUCCAAGGCACUAUGACCCUGACAAUAUGCCACCUAUUGAGGAGACAAAAGAUUCUGUGUUUCCCAUCUACCUCCCAUUAAAGGUAUUUGACAAUGAUGAAUUUGACUGUCGAACUCCAGAAGAGUGGAUCUCACUAGGACUGGAGCCAGGAUGUUCUGAUAGAAAGCCAGUGCCUGGAAAAGCACUUUUACCUACAGAUGAUGUACUUGGACAUGAGGACCCCAAGAGCCAGGAGUUGAUCUACAAGUGGAUUGAUGUUGGUGUUCUGGAUUAUGACAAGGAGACAGAUCUCUACUUGGUCCAUAAAGCAGACAAAGGUCUAGUGCGUGAUGAAAAAGGGAGACCCAUCCUCAAUGGAGGAGUAACUCCAGAAGGAAGAGCUCCACUGUUGCCAUGUCAGUACUGGGUGCCACGAGUUUGCCUGCAGUUCCUGGCCGAGGAUCCGCAGGUGUUUGCGGAGCGCGUGGCCUCUGCCGACAGCCUGCGCAAGAAGACGCAGGGGCUGCUCAUGUACCACUUGUACGUGGACUGCAUGCCCACAGAGGGGCUGGACACCAUCAGUGAGAAAAGCCUGCAGAGGAUGAAGCGCUUGGCUGUGCAGACUCCCAAACUGAAGGAUGAGAAGAGCAUGUUAGACUGUAUGAGCAGCCUGGAGAAAGAAGUGAAAUUGGACUAUGAACACACCAUAAACAGGAUAAACUUUGACAGAGUCGUUGCUUCCAAACCCCAGAUGUUUUCUUAUGUUACCCUGCCAGACAAAGAGGAGAAGGAAGCACCAGAGAGAGGGCUUGUCUUUGUCCCAGACUAUCCUUUUCGUAAACAACAGAAAGAAUUCAACUUUUUGUCACUCCUGACCAGUCCAGAAGUCAUCCAUCUCCUUGCACAGGUACAAGAUGAGUGCAACAAGGUAGCUGUCAUGUCUCUGUUUGACACUACCAUAAACAAACUUGUCUCUCUGGAGGAAUUUGAAGAGAUCCAGACUCAGACCUUCACUCAGGUUCAGGAGUUUCUCAAGGAUACUUGGAUCAAUACCAUAAAGACUGCUAUUGAGAGCAGCCUUAAAGAUGCAGGCAAAUGGUUCAACCUGGAGGAGACUGACUGGGAUGUCUACCAGAGCUCCAAGCUGUGUAAGCUGAUGGGGCGCAUCCGGUUCAUGCUUCAGGACUCUCUGCGGUACCUGGUCCAGAGGUCGCUCAUCAGCUUCACCCAGCUUGUGCUGGAUGUUUGCCAGAGUGUCCUGGAUUGCUCAGAGGACAUGGAAUGGGGAGAUGACAUCAGCAGCAGUUCCUACACGCCUCAAAGGAAUCUACUCUUUGCAACAGACAUUCAGCUAGACAGCAGUGGCAUCCUCUUCAGCCCCUCUGUGAAGAACUUUGAGACAUCCUUCAUUUCUCUCUUUGACAGUGGGAUCCUGGCCACUCACAGUGUCCCACAGCUGGAGCAGUAUGUGUUGAAGAACAUAGAUACAACAAGCACCGUCAUGCUGGAAUCAGUGGGUUUGCAAGAGCUAGAAGUGAAAGAGCUACGUGAGACUCUGCGCUCUGCCAUUCGAAAGACUAAGAUCCCUCUCGAAGCCUACGGCAAAAGAUACCAGAAGUUCUUAGAGAUAAAUAACAAUGACAUCAAGUACUUCCUAAAAAGCUAUGAAGAGCAAUUUCCACCUACCCAGGAGGUGAUGAACAUAGUAAACACAUACUUGUCUGAAAAGGAGACCCUGGACCACCUUCUACCUAGUUUUAUUAUCAUUGGCCCCUUUCGAGUCAGGAUAGAACAUAUUAGGCAUAAUCUGUCUGUUAAACAUAAAGCAGUGGCCACUGCUGUGUUGGACCUGCUGGCUAAAACCCUCCAUUCACAGGUGCUGAAAAUCUGUGAGGCAUAUGAAGCCAUCAGCACCAAAAUGCAUGAGAGACCAAACAACAUUGAGGAGCUGGUUGAGCUGCGGGACUGGCUGAAGGGAGUGCCCGAGCAGCUGGCAGCGCAGGAGCAACUGAUUGGGGAAGUCAUGGAAGAUUACAAGGUCAUGGACGACUUCCUUUACAAUCUUACUGAAGAAGAUUUCACUGACAAGUGGACUGCCAGUUACUGGCCAGUGAAAAUGUCUAUGGACACAGAGGCCGUUCGGCUCCAGCACAUAGACGAUGAAGAAAGAUUUCGCAAAACGCAGAUUUCAGAUCAGAAGGCAUUUGAAGAAAAACUGGAGGAAAUGCAGCUGACUGUAGGUGGAUUUUCUGUCCAGUCAGACGUUAAUCAAGCCCAUGAGCUGGCUGAAGAUGCAAGGGAUGUCCGGAAGCAGCUGAAAGAGCUUCAGGAAAUGUCAGUUCUCUACAACAACAGGGAAAGACUCUUUGGUGUCAGAGUUACUGAUUACAGUGGGGUGCCCAAGAUGAUUAAGGACUUCCAGCCAUACUAUGAUCUCUGGACUACAGUGUCAGACUGGAUAAAGUGGUAUGAGAGCUGGAUGAACGAUUCUCUCCUUAAAAUUGAGGCAGAGGAGCUAGAAAAGAAUGUCAAUGACUCUCUUAAGACCAUGCAGAGAUGUGUGAAGCAGUUCAAGGAUUCACCAGACUGCCAGAGUGUCGCCACGGAGUUUCGAGACAAGAUGGAUGAUUUCAAACAAUACGUGCCCUUAAUUCAAGGGCUGCGCAAUCCUGGGAUGAGGCCUCGGCACUGGGAGAUGCUGUCAAACCUGGUUAAGACUAAUGUCGAGCUGGAACCCAGCAUGACAUUUGGUCACUGUUUGGAACUGAACCUGCAGGACCACAUGGAGAGUGUUCUCAAAGUAGCUGAGACAGCCAGCAAGGAAUAUGCCAUUGAAAAUGCACUCAACAAGAUUGAGAAUGAAUGGAAAUCUGUUUCAUUUGUUGUGGUGCUUUACAAAAACACAAAGACCUAUAUUCUGAAAAGCACUGAUGAUAUUUCUCAGCUCUUAGAUGAUCAUAUUGUCCUGGUUCAGAGCAUGUCUUUCUCACCCUUCAAGAAACCUUUUGAGGAAAGGAUGAACCUGUGGGAAACUAAGCUGAAGAUGACACAGGAUGUCCUAGAGGAGUGGCUGAACUGUCAGCGCUCUUGGCUCUACUUGGAGCCAAUCUUUAGCUCAGAGGACAUCAAAAGGCAGCUCCCAGUGGAAAGCCAGCGCUACAACAUCGUGGAUAAGGACUGGAGGCGUGUCAUGAAGAAUGCUAAUGCAAACCCUGAGGUGAUUUCUUUGUGCCCUGAUCCAGAGCUACUGGAGAAGCUGCAAAAUUGUAACAAACUACUUGAACUUGUGCAGAAAGGGCUGAGUGAAUAUCUGGAGACAAAGAGAGCCGCAUUUCCCAGGUUCUACUUCCUUUCAGAUGAUGAGCUGCUGGAAAUACUGUCCCAGACAAAAGACCCCACUGCUGUACAACCUCACCUCCACAAGUGCUUUGAGAACAUUGCACGGCUGAAAUUCCAGCAAGACCUACAGAUCACACACAUGUACUCUGGUGAAGGAGAAGAAGUGAAGCUGUUUUCUUCCAUCACUCCCACUGAGAAUGUGGAGGACUGGCUGCUGGAAGUGGAGAAAUCCAUGAAGGCCAGUGUUCGGGACAACAUAGAAAAAUCAACUGCUGUUUAUCCAGAGACUCCACGUACCAGAUGGGUCUUGGAAUGGCCUGGCCAAGUGGUCAUUGCUGGCUGCCAGAUUUUCUGGACAAAGGAGGUGUCUGAAGCUCUGGAAGCUGGAGAUUUGUCCAGCAGACUUUACCCACAGCUGAGUGCUCAGCUGGGAGAUUUGGUGGCUCUGGUCCGUGGGAGGCUGUCCAAGAUGCAGAGAGCAGUGCUGUCAGCUCUUAUUGUGAUUGAGGUCCAUGCCAAGGAUGUUGCAGCAAAGCUGAUUGAGGAGAAUGUAACAAGCAUGAACGACUUUGAGUGGAUCUCCCAGCUCAGAUACUACUGGACAAGGGGAGACCUGUACAUCAGAGCAGUCAAUGCUGAGUUUAUCUAUGGCUAUGAGUACCUGGGGAACACUGGCCGUCUGGUUAUCACACCCCUCACUGACAGGUGUUAUCUGACACUUACAGGAGCUCUGCACCUGAAAUUUGGAGGAGCACCUGCAGGACCAGCAGGAACAGGCAAAACAGAAACAACAAAAGACCUGGGCAAAGCACUGGCAAUCCAAACUGUAGUGUUCAACUGCUCUGACCAACUCGACUUUAUGGCAAUGGGCAAGUUUUUUAAGGGACUAGCCAGCUCUGGUGCCUGGGCUUGCUUUGAUGAGUUCAACCGCAUCGAUAUUGAGGUGCUGUCUGUGGUGGCCCAGCAGAUUACAACCAUCCAGAAAGCACAGCAGCAGAGGGUGGAAACCUUCAUAUUUGAAGGCACAGAGAUCCCACUGGUCCCAUCCUGUGCAGUCUUCAUCACAAUGAACCCAGGGUAUGCUGGGCGCACUGAACUGCCUGAUAAUCUGAAGGCUCUCUUUCGUCCUGUGGCUAUGAUGGUCCCAGAUUACUCCAUGAUUGCUGAGAUCUCACUCUACUCCUUUGGGUUUAAUGAAGCCAAAAUCCUUGCAAAGAAGAUCACCACAACAUUCAAACUAUUGUCAGAACAGCUCAGCUCCCAGGACCACUAUGACUUUGGGAUGAGAGCUGUGAAGACUGUCAUCUCAACAGCUGGCAAUCUCAAAAGAGAGAAUCCUGAUAUGGAUGAGGAGCUGAUCUGCCUGCGAGCUAUUAGGGAUGCCAACGUACCCAAAUUCCUGCAGGAUGACCUCAAGCUCUUCAAUGGUAUUGUCUCAGAUUUAUUUCCAAAUAUUAAAGAAUCACCUGUUGAUUAUGGCAUCCUGGAAGAAGCCAUCCGCAAAUCCUGCAUCCAGGCAAAUCUGAAGGAUGUUGAUGGUUUUGUGACUAAAUGCAUCCAACUGUAUGAGACCACCGUGGUUCGUCACGGCCUGAUGCUGGUGGGACCAACAGGUUCUGGGAAGACAAAGAGUUAUGAAGUCCUGGCAGCUGCAAUGACAUCACUGAAAGGUCAGCCUGCAGCCAGUGGUGGGAAUUACGAAGCAGUCCGCUACUUUGUACUGAAUCCCAAAUCCAUCACAAUGGGCCAGCUUUAUGGAGAGUUCAACUUGCUAACGCAUGAAUGGACAGACGGGAUCUUUUCCACACUCAUGCGUCGGGGAACUGUGGCCGCUGACUCCAGCAGGAAGUGGUACAUGUUUGAUGGGCCAGUGGACGCUUUGUGGAUUGAGAACAUGAACACAGUACUUGAUGACAAUAAGAAGCUGUGCCUCAGCUCAGGGGAAAUCAUCAAGAUGACAGAAGGCAUGACCAUGAUGUUUGAAGUCCAGGAUUUGGCUGUUGCUUCCCCUGCCACAGUCUCCCGCUGUGGCAUGGUUUACCUGGAACCCAGCAUUUUGGGGCUGGACCCCUUUGUUCAAUGCUGGCUGAAAAGUAUGCCAGAAGUCAUGCAACGCUUCUCACAGCAGCUGGCAAUUCUCUUCAAGAAAUUCCUCCAGGAGGCCAUCAACUUUAUACGAGACUCUGUGAAGGAGGUAAUUACUUCUACAGAUGGUAACCUCACAAUGAGCCUCCUGGUGCUGAUGGAAUGUUUGUAUCAGCCUUUCGUUCCCAUUAAGGGAUUUAAGACGAUUCCCCGGGAGAAGCUUGCUCGAAUGGGAGAGCUGAUUGAACCUUGGUUUAUAUUUGCCUUGAUCUGGAGUGUGGGAGCUACUGGAGAUUCCCAAGGUCGUGAGGCCUUUAGCUCAUGGCUCAGGAAGAAGAUGGCAAAGGAAAGGAUCCGGUUACCCUUCCCAGAAGAAGGACUGGUUUAUGACUAUAAACUGGAUGAUGGUGGGCUUAGCAGUACUGAAGAUUUGGAUGAGGAUAUCCCUAGUGUGGUGCAUUGGGAGGUGUGGCUGGAUGCUACAGCAAAGUUCACCAUGGUUCCAGACACCAACUUCUGUGAUGUUAUCGUGCCCACGAUGAACACAGUCCGGAUGGCUUAUCUGCUGGAGCUGUUGCUCACCAACUAUAAGCCAGUUCUUUGCAUUGGUCCCACUGGCACAGGGAAGACUCUCACAAUUGCAGACAAGCUUUUGAAGAACUUGCCUAACAAAUACAUCGCCCACUUCCUGAUGUUUUCAGCACGCACCUCUGCUAACCAAACCCAGGAUCUCAUCGACAGCAAACUGGAUAAGAGGCGGAAGGGAGUGUUCGGGCCUCCAGUUGGUCGGUACUUCAUAUUUUUUAUUGAUGACUUGAACAUGCCCAUGCUGGAGCAAUAUGGAGCUCAGCCCCCCAUUGAGCUGCUGAGGCAGUGGAUGGACCACCACGGCUGGUACGACCGGAAGCAGAUCGGUACUUUUAAGAAGCUGGUAGAUAUUAAUUUUGUCUGUGCCAUGGGGCCUCCUGGAGGGGGAAGGAAUCCUGUCACUCCACGCCUCACUCGCCAUUUCAACUACCUCUCCUUCACGGAGAUGGAUGACAGCAGCAAGAAGAAGAUCUUCUCCACCAUCCUUGGCAGCUGGAUGGACGGAUACCUAGGAGAAAAAAGUUACAGAAAUCCAGUGCCGGGAGCAGAUGCAGUGAAAGACUUGAAUAAGCCUUUAGUGAAUGCCACCAUCUCUGUGUAUAUGACCAUCACAUCCCAGCUGCUGCCCACACCAGCAAAGUCACAUUAUACUUUCAACCUGAGAGACCUCUCAAAGGUGUUCCAGGGCAUGCUCAUGGCUGAGCCUGGCAAGGUCGAGAACAAAGAGCACCUGCUGAGAUUGUGGUACCAUGAGAGCUGCCGGGUCUUCUGUGAUCGCUUGGUCAGUGAGGAGGACCGGACCUGGUUUGACAAGCUGAUGAUGGAGAAGAUGGAGGAGUUUGGCACCACUUUUGAGGAGGUCAUUCCCUUCCAGCCAGUUCUGUUUGGAGACUUCAUGGAGCCAGGUGCCAAUGUCAAAGUAUACCAAUCAAUUGACAGCCAGGAUAAGCUGAAGCUUGUGAUUGAGGACUACCUGGAGGAGUACAAUCAAAGCCACACCCCAGAGCUGAAGCUUGUGCUUUUCAUGGAUGCCAUACAGCACAUCUGCCGAAUCAGCCGGAUUCUGCGCCAGGCUCCGGGGAAUGCUCUUCUCCUGGGUGUUGGGGGAAGUGGGAGACAGUCUCUCACCAGACUGGCAUCUCACAUGGCAGAAUAUGAAUGUUUCCAGAUUGAACUGUCCAAAAAUUAUGGCAUGACAGAAUGGCGAGAUGAUGUGAGGACGGUCAUGAUGAAGGCAGGCCUUCAAAGUCUACCCAAAACCUUCCUAUUUGUAGACACACAGAUUAAAAGUGAAUCCUUCCUCGAAGACAUCAACAACUUGCUCAACUCUGGUGACAUUCCCAACAUUUACAAUCCUGAGGACCAAGACCAGAUCAUGACAGCUAUGAAGCCUGUUGUUCGAGAUCUGGGGCAGCAGCCCACCAAGGCCAAUUUGAUGGCUGCAUACACAGCACGGGUUCGCAGCAAUAUCCACAUGGUCCUGUGCAUGAGCCCCAUCGGAGAAGUGUUCCGCGCACGCUUGAGGCAGUUCCCCUCUCUUGUCAACUGCUGUACCAUUGACUGGUUCAAUGAGUGGCCUGCUGAAGCUCUGCAGAGCGUUGCCUCCUCCUUCCUGAAUGAACUGCCACUUCUUGGGAGUGGUAAUGACGAUACCACCGGAAUGAUUCAAGUAUGUGUAGCAAUCCACCAGAGCGUGGCACGGAAGUGCCAGUUGUUCCUAGCAGAACUGGGCAGACACAAUUAUAUUACUCCCAAAAGCUACCUGGAGUUCCUCAGCAUCUUCAGUUCCCUCAUUGGAAAAAAGCAACAGGAACUGAAGACAGCCAAGAACAGGAUGCAAAGUGGCCUAGACAAGCUCCUGCGAACAGCAGAGGAUGUAGCGAAGAUGCAGGAGGAGCUGGAGUCCUCCCGCCCCCUCCUGGCACAGGCAGCCAAGGACACCGAGGCAACCAUAGAACGGAUAAAGGUGGACACAGCUGUGGCUGAAAAGACAAGAAUUGCUGUGCAGGCAGAGGAGGCAAAGGCCAAUGAGAAAGCUAAGACAGCCCAAGCCAUUGCAGAUGAUGCUCAGAAGGACUUGGAUGAAGCCCUUCCAGCUCUGCAUGCCGCUCUUGCCAGCCUGAAGAACCUCAACAGAAAUGAUGUUACAGAGGUACGAGCCCUGCAGCGGCCUCCCCCUGGUGUGAAGAUUGUGAUUGAAGCUGUCUGCAUUAUGCAUGGAAAAAAGCCAAAAAAAGUAGCAGGAGAAAAGCUAGGCACCAAGGUGGAUGAUUACUGGGAGCCAGGCAGGGCCCUUCUCCAGGACCCAGUGCAGUUCCUGAACAGCCUGUAUGAUUAUGAUAAGGACAAUAUUCCAGAUGCAGUGAUCAAAGCCAUCCAGCCCUACAUUGACAAUGAGGAGUUUCAGCCAGCUGCCAUCGCCAAGGUCUCCAAAGCCUGUACCUCCAUCUGCCAGUGGGUGCGUGCCAUGCACAAGUACCACUUUGUGGCCAAGGUUGUGGAGCCCAAGCGGAAAGCCUUGCGGGAGGCAGAGGAGGACCUGCGUGCCACUCAGCUGAUCCUUGACGAAGCUAAGCAACGCCUGAAGGAGGUUGAAGAUGGCAUUGCUGCACUGCAAGCCAAGUACGAGGCCUGCAAAGCCAAUAAGGAGGAGUUGGAGAGGAAAUGCCAGCAGUGUAUAGAGAGAUUGGCCCGAGCCGAUGUGCUCAUCAACAGCUUGUCUGAUGAGAAGGUGCGCUGGCAGGACACUGUGGAGGGCCUGGAUGACAAAAUCAACAACAGCUCUGGGGACGUGCUGGUUGCAGCUGGCUUUGUGGCCUACCUGGGCCCUUUCACAGGAGAUUACCGAGUAGCACUGUCCACAGAGUGGAUGAGGGAGCUGGCCGAAAACGACAUUCCCCACAGUGAGGAUGCAAGCCUCAUCAACACCCUUGGAGACCCUGUGGAAAUCCGCUCCUGGCAGAUUGCUGGUUUACCCAAUGAUGCCCUGUCUGUGGAGAAUGGAGUAAUAACCAGAUUCUCCCUGCGCUGGACUCACUACAUAGACCCACAAGGACAAGCAAACAAGUGGAUCAAGAAUCUGGAGAGGGCAAACAGCCUGGAGGUGGCCAAGCUGAGUGACCGGGACUUCCUCUCCACUCUGGAAAACACCAUUACCUUUGGGAAGCCCUUCCUGCUGGAGAAUGUCGGCGAGGAGCUGGAUCCAGUCCUUGAACCUGUCCUGCUGAAAGAGACCUUCAAACAGCAAGGCAGCACCGUGCUGAAGCUGGGGGAUACAGUGAUCCCCUACCAUGAUGAUUUCAAGAUGUACAUCACCACCAAGCUGCCCAACCCUCACUACAGCCCUGAGGUCUCCACAAAGCUCACCCUUAUCAACUUCACCCUCUCACCCAGUGGCUUGGAAGACCAACUGUUGGGAGAAGUGGUGGCUGCAGAGCGGCCUGACUUAGAAGAAGACAGAAACCAGUUAAUUGUCAGCAAUGCCCAGAUGCGUCAGGAACUAAAGGAGAUAGAAGACCAGAUCCUGUAUCGGCUCAGCACUUCUGAAGGAAACCCUGUAGAUGACUUGGAGCUCAUCAAAGUGUUGGAGGCAUCCAAGCUGAAGGCAGGAGAGAUCCAGGCCAAGGUCGUGGUGGCAGAGCAGACAGAGAAGGACAUCAACAUCACCCGCAUGCAGUAUGUGCCUGUGGCUGUCCGCUCGCAGAUCCUCUACUUCUGUGUCUCAGACCUGUCCAAUGUGGACCCCAUGUACCAGUAUUCACUCGAGUGGUUCCUCAACAUCUUCCUCUUGGGGAUCCGUAACUCUGAGAAAGCAGAUGAGCUGCCAGUGCGGGUGAAGAACAUCAACAACUACAUCACCUUCAGUCUCUACUGCAACGUGUGCCGCAGCCUCUUCGAGAAGCACAAGCUCAUGUUUGCCUUCCUGGUCAGCGCCCGCAUUCUGAUGAAUGAGGGGAAGAUCAAUAUGGAUGAGUGGCGGUACCUGCUGUCAGGAGGGGCCAUAAAGGAGAUGAAGAACAACCCAGCUCCAGCCUGGCUGAACGAGAGAGCAUGGGGAGACAUUCUGGCCUUGAGCAGCCUGAAUAAUUUCUCUGGCUUCGACAACGAUUUUGCAGACAACCUUGAAGAGUUCAGGACUAUUUUUGACAGCCCCAACCCUCACAGAGAGCUUUUGCCUGGGAAGUGGGAAGAUGGGCUUGAUGCCUUCCAGAAGCUGCUGGUUCUGCGGUGUCUGCGUGGAGACAAGAUCACCAAUGCCAUGCAGGACUUCGUGGUGCUGAACUUGGAUCAGCGCUUCAUCGAGCCACAGACCACUGACCUCUCAGCCGUGUUUAGGGAGUCCACUGCCACCACCCCCCUGGUGUUUGUGCUGUCCCCAGGCACUGACCCCGCUGCCGACCUCUACAAAUUUGCUGAAGAAAUGAAGUUCUCACAAAAGCUCUCUGCUAUUUCUCUGGGCCAAGGACAGGGCCCCCGUGCUGAAGCCAUGCUGCACAAUGCCAUGGAACAGGGCAACUGGGUCUUCUUCCAGAACUGCCACCUGGCCCCCAGCUGGAUGCCCUCACUGGAGAGACUCAUCGAGGGCAUUGACCCCGGCAAGGUGCAUCCAGACUUUCGCCUCUGGCUCACCAGUCUACCGAGCAACAACUUCCCUGUGUCUAUUCUCCAGAAUGGCUCCAAGAUGACCAUUGAGCCCCCCCGUGGGGUCAAGGCCAACCUGCUCAAGUCUUACAUUAAUUUCAGUGAUGACUUCUUGAAUUCUUGCUCCAAGGUCACUGAGUUUAAAUCCCUGUUGCUGUCACUUUGCUUCUUCCAUGGGAACAUGCUGGAGAGGAGAAAGUUUGGGCCUCUGGGGUUCAAUAUCCCUUAUGAGUUCACAGAUGGAGACCUCCGCAUCUGCAUCAGUCAGCUGCAAAUGUUCUUGAACGAAUAUGCAGAAAUUCCCUACAAGGUUCUGAAAUACACAGCUGGGGAGAUCAACUACGGCGGCCGCGUGACCGAUGACUGGGACCGGCGCUGCAUCAUGAGCAUUUUGGAAGAUUUCUACAAACCUGAGGUUUUAAAUCCUGACUUUACCUAUUCUGAAUCAGGUAUCUACAAGCAGAUCAGUACCUCUUCUGACCUCAAUGGCUACCUCCAAUACGUCAAGGGCCUGCCUCUAAACGACAGCCCGGAGCUCUUUGGUUUACAUGACAAUGCUGACAUCACCUUCGCUCAGAAUGAGACCUUUGCUCUGCUGGGAGCCAUUGCACAGCUGCAGCCCAAGACCAUCACACUGGGAGGUCGCAGCAGGGAAGAGAUCGUGGAGGAGACCUCCAAGGACAUCCUGGCAAAGCUGCCCAACCCCAUGAACGUGCAGGAAGUGAUCCGCAAAUACCCACUGCUCUAUGAAGAAUCCAUGAACACAGUGCUGGUGCAGGAGGUGAUCAGGUACAACAAGCUCCUGGAGGAGGUUGCCUCAAGUCUGAAGGAUUUGCUGAAAGCUCUCAAGGGCCUGGUCGUGAUGUCCUCUCGGCUGGAGCUGAUGGCCAGCAGUUUGUACAACAACACUGUUCCUGAAAUAUGGAAUGCCAAGGCCUAUCCGUCGCUGAAGCCAUUGGCAUCGUGGGUGAACGACUUGGUGCAGCGGAUUGAAUUCCUGCAGAACUGGAUCAGCCAUGGGAUCCCCUCCGUGUUCUGGAUCAGUGGGUUCUUCUUCCCCCAGGCCUUCCUCACUGGGACGCUGCAGAACUUCGCCAGGAAGUCUGUCAUCUCCAUUGACACCAUCUCGUUUAGCUUCAAGGUCAUGAAGGAGUCGGUGAAGGAGCUGAAGCGCCAGCCCAACGUGGGCUGCUACAUCCACGGCUUGUUCCUGGAGGGCGCCCGCUGGGACGCUGCUGCGGGUCGGCUGGCGGAGUCACGCCCCAAGGAGCUCUACACGGAGAUGGCUGUCAUCUGGCUGGUGCCUGUCCCCAACCGCAAGCCUCCAGAAUCCGGCUCCUACCUGUGCCCCAUCUAUAAGACUCUCACUCGCGCAGGCACGCUGUCAACAACGGGCCACUCCACCAACUACGUGAUUGCUGUGGAGAUCCCUACAGACAAGCCAGAGAAGCACUGGAUCAAACGGGGCACAGCCCUGAUCUGUGCCCUGGACUUUUAGCCAGGAAAUGCAGUCAGCCAGCCCAGGAACCCACUGCAGCUGAGGGCCUGAGCCAGGCUGCUGCCUCCCUCUCCUCCGGCCCUCCUUCCGUUGAGAAACACAGCAGGGAAGGUGAGCAGCUGACAGAAGGAGGUGGAGAUCCAGCAUGGACACUGCCAGCCCUGUGCUCAGCAGUUCAGGCUGCCUACUGGGAUGAAACAAGGUCCUGAACACGUUAAUGUCACCUCCAAAGCCACUAGCUUCUCUUGCAGCACCCCAGCACCACUGAGCCACUCAGUCCCAGGGAUCCCUACACCGCUGAAGGACACAGGGUGCUGUGUACCCCUUGCUCUUCUUCCAAAGCCCCCAAAGCUCCCUUGCUGUGACCCCAACUUCCUGGCUUUACUAGCAGUCCAAGCACACCAACAGUGUCACUAGGAGCUGAAUUGGCAAUCAGUACUGUGCAACCAAGGUUCCUCAAAGCCUGCCACCAAUACACAGUUACUCUCAGGACAGCUGAAAUUUGGAGAUGGCCAUAAAGAGCUACAGAAGGACUUCACAAAACCCAGUGUGUGAAAAGUGAAAUGGCAGGUGAAGAGAAGAACAGAACUGUCAAGAGCUAAGGAAAGAGAUCAGCAAAGUCCUCGCUGAUGGUUCUGCAAAUGUCAGCUCCCGGCCCCCCACCCACAGCCCAAGC